GGGUUCCGUAACGGCUGUCGUGGUUCUGCCCGACGUAGUCGUUGGAAUGCCGUCUCGGGGAGGGUAUUACUAAUGUUAAAAUGGGUUAUUAUACUAACACAUGUGCAUUGUUUAUUUAACUAGAUUAUAACCAGGAAGUCACAAAGGAAAGCCCUAUAAUAGCAAUUACCGUAUGGUGGUAACUUAGUGUGAAGCCAAUAAAAGCCAGCUGGAGAGCACUGAAGGCUUAGAAAAGUGGCAAUAAAAGUUACCUAAUUAAAAAUGGGAAUUAUUUUCAAUAAUUGGGAUCAUUCCCUAUAGAUGUAUCAAAAUGAAAAUCGGGUUUUGUCCCACUUA
rnacentral:lncRNA from 1 species